rnacentral:lncRNA from 1 species
CACGGAUCCAGGCCCCGGGUCCCGCCGGCCCCUCCGAACCGCGCCGCCACCCUCCUCCUCCUCCGGGCCACGGCGCGCCGCUCUUCCCCGGCGCUGCGCCGCGCUCGCCUCACCGAAUUUAAGGCGAAGAGAAAAGAGCCAGAAAUCCCCGAGCUGGCGGCAACUGCGGCGCUGUCUCCUCUGCGACCGGAACUAACGCGAGCAGGAGGGGAGGAAGAGGCGCCACCCCCGCCCCGGAGGCCUGCUAUCGCGAGAUUUCUACCCUGCGCCAGUUCGCACUCCCCCCUGCCGAAGGCCGCGGGGUUGCAGCUCGGGGGCACCGGCUAACACCGCGGUGGACUCAAGAAUGUGCCUUUAUCACAAAGUCUCCCGAGAUAAGGACCUUCAGAAGGUGUAUUCUCCGGGACAACAGAUAAAACUGCCCGCAUCCGGAUCUCCUUCAUCCCUCUCCAGAAGAGAAGAGAAGAAACAUGGGAAAUGCCAGGUACAGGACCCUGCUUCCCGCUUCAUUCAUGGGUGAGAAAUGCCUGGGUUCUAUAAAAUCCCCAUGGUCUUCAGCCUACCUACAAAAGGUAGCCUUGUGUAGGGGCUGCUCCUGUGUCUUCUGCAGCCUAAGGAGGAAAAGCAAGGCUUGGGAAGGUGUCAGAAGACAUCCCAGUCAACAUUUUGGAUAAAAAUAAAAUGUGUGAGCGAGCCCAUGUGCAUGCGCG